rnacentral:rRNA from 1 species
GACACGCCGCGUGAGUGAGGAAGGUUUUCGGAUCGUAAAGCUCUGUUGUUGGAGAUGAACAAGUGUCAUAGGAAAUGAUGGCACCUUGACGGUAUCCAACCAGAAAGCCCCGGCUAACUACGUGCCAGCAGCCGCGGUAAUACGUAGGGGGCAAGCGUUGUCCGGAAUUAUUGGGCGUAAAGCGCGCGCAGGCGGCUUCUUAAGUCUGAUGUGAAAGCCCGUGGCUCAACCACGGAGGGUCAUUGGAAACUGGGGAGCUUGAGUACAGAAGAGGAGAGUGGAAUUCCACGUGUAGCGGUGAAAUGCGUAGAUAUGUGGAGGAACACCAGUGGCGAAAGCGGCUCUCUGGUCUGUAACUGACGCUGAGGCGCGAAAGCGUGGGGAGCAAACAGGAUUAGAUACCCUGGUAGUCCACGCCGUAAACGAUGAGUGCUAGGUGUUGGAGGGGUCCAACCCUUCAGUGCUGAAGUUAACACAUUAAGCACUCCGCCUGGGGAGUACGACCGCAAG